UACGUAGGGUGCGAGCGUUGUCCGGAAUUACUGGGCGUAAAGAGCUCGUAGGUGGUUUGUCGCGUUGUCCGUGAAAACUCACAGCUCAACUGUGGGCGUGCGGGCGAUACGGGCAGACUGGAGUACUGCAGGGGAGACUGGAAUUCCUGGUGUAGCGGUGGAAUGCGCAGAUAUCAGGAGGAACACCGGUGGCGAAGGCGGCAUCCUGGACCAACACUGACGCUGAGUGAGCGAAAGCCAGGGGAGCAAACGGG
rnacentral:rRNA from 1 species